AGUGAACGCUGGCGGUAGGCCUAACACAUGCAAGUCGAACGGCAGCACAGUAAGAGCUUGCUCUUACGGGUGGCGAGUGGCGGACGGGUGAGGAAUACAUCGUAAUCUACUUUUUCGUGGGGGAUAACGUAGGGAAACUUACGCUAAUACCGCAUACGACCUACGGGUGAAAGCAGGGGAUCUUCGGACCUUGCGCGAUUGAAUGAGCCGAUGUCGGAUUAGCUAGUUGGCGGGGUAAAGGCCCACCAAGGCGACGAUCCGUAGCUGGUCUGAGAGGAUGGUAAGCCACACUGGAACUGAGACACGGUCCAUACUCCUACGGGAGGCAGCAGUGGGGAAUAUUGGACAAUGGUCGCAAGCCUGAUCCAGCCAUACCGCGUGGGUUAAGAAGGCCUUCGGGUUGUAAAGCCCUUUUGUUGGUAAAGAAAAGCAGCAGGUUAAUACCCCGCUGUUCUGACGGUACCCAAAGAAUAAGCACCGGCUAACUUCGUG
rnacentral:rRNA from 1 species